rnacentral:tRNA from 1 species
GCCCCGGUAGCUCAUCCGGUAUAGCGCAUGCCACAUACGCAGCGGCCCAGGUUCGAAUCCAGCCUGGGCCC